rnacentral:miRNA from 1 species
UGAUGCUGGGAAAUGUAGUUCUGG